ACAUUUCAAGUCGUGAAAUCGAAAGGAAAGGAGAGAACUUAGGUCAUCGCAGCGAUCGAUCGUGGGGUGUCCGGAACUGCGGCUACCGAUCGGCUGCUGCACCUUCUUCUCAGGUGGUUCCAUAUUUGCAGGUUCGAGCCUCUUUCUCGAUAGUGUCUUGAGGGUUACGUUCUAACUGUUUUGGCUCCAAGCGAUGAAGCUAUGUCGAAGCUGACGACGUACCAUUUGAGUGAACCAGGUGUGCCGGAGCAAAUCAUAUAUUACCAUCUCGUCCAGGAGUAUCAAACGGAGGAGAGUAUGUAUAAUGCGGUGAGAAGGUUCGGUAAGUUACGAUUCGUUACGAGUACCCCACAAGGUUGUGGCCGAAGAAGCCAAUGGGUCUGGGAAAUUUGGGAUGGGAGAUGAAUCAGUUUAUCUGUUCGAUCCCGAUAUCUGCAUCGACAGUCGAAUUUCAGGUCGGGUAUUGAUGGUGUUCUGUUCCCCACUGAAGAAAAGACGAAUUCCGAAACGAAAUUGAUUCACACAGUACUCUUACCACUACUAAAGCUACUGUUAAAUCUCAGAAUAGGUGCUUCAAAAACAAAUCUUUUUUCCUUUCCUUAUCUUCAUUACUUUCUCAGACAUUGGAAUUCCAGUUCUUAUUUCACUUGUUUGUUAUAUCUGCCGGAUUCCGGUGAUGUUUAGUUCAGUGAGGUUGUCGGCUCCGAUGAGUUUUUAUGUGGGUCACAUCGUCUUUAUCUGGAUUUUUCAUUUUUAUCAUUGGUUUAGGAAAUGUUAGAUUUAAUAUUAAUAGUGUUUGCUCUCAACCAUUAUUAGUUGUGCUUCAUAUUGCAUAAAGUCUUUUUUUUUUUUUUUUGGAUAAAUGUUGCUUAUUUGCUUAAAUACUUGGUUGGUUUAUCGUUUCUUUAGGGAUCCUCAUGCUUGGUUAAUCAGUUUUUGAGGGUGAGCUUUGGAAACCUGAUUUGUUAAGGAAUGAAAAUUUGUUGGGUUCACUCCAUCUAGAUAUAACCUAACCUUCCAGGGGCCCAUACUUUCAGCCUCAUGUGCAGGCCUUAUCUAGCUAGAUGCUUGGCUAGGUCCAGCCAUGUGCUACUCAGGCUUAAUUUGUAGAGUAAUAUAUAGGGUUAUAUAUCAUUGAAGGAAUAAAAAAGAGAAAAAAGAAUGCACUAUUGUUUAAUUUAUUUAUUAUAUUUAUAUGGAUUCCUUUGGCAUUUGGAAAUGUUAUAUUUUGUAUAAGAAUGAAGCAUAUUAAGCAUGGUUAAGUGAGGAAAAGAUCCCAAUUACAUCAUGGGAUUGGUGUCUUCCAUGUGUGGCAAUUGUAUCAUGGACUAAAUGUCGUCACUUUUUGUAAAAAAACAAUACUAGAGAUUAAAAAUGGAACUGAUUUUCCAUAAUUAUGCAUUGCAAUUCAAUAAAGUCGUUUUUGAUUUUUUAAAUUAAUACAAUUUUCUUUAUCUUUUUAGUAAUUCCUAUAAAAUAUUUCCUUUGAAAUGUUUGAUGACAUGAUCCUUUUACUCGCAUACAUUCAUAGCUUAUUUUUUCAAGUUAUUCUAAGCACUUAAUUCAUUGGAUUCACCCUCAUUUUAGGUUAUGUUAUUAGAAGUAGUUUUAUAUAUUAUUAGGUUUCUUAAUUCUAGCUCCUCUGAUUUAUUUAAAAGUUGAAUAAAUUCAUGCAAUUUUUUAGACCUUUGUAGUUUUUAUAUAACACAAAACUACCAAUGACCUCCAUUAACCUCUCCAUCAGUUUGUUAAUUUUGUUUUCUAAUUUGAAUGCAUUUUUUACUCCAAUAUAUACUCAUUUUUUGCUUAAAACUUAUCCCCAUUUCCUACAUUCAGUUAUUUAUUUUCUUUUAAAAAUUAAUAAAAAAAAGUCUUUUUGAGGCCGUAAAUUACUUAUAUGAUAUCUUUUCUUUUAUCAUAAAAAUAUCAAGAUUCUUGACAAAUCAAUCAACUCUCAAUCUAACAUUAACAUACUCCUCUCUCACUUGACAAUAGGCCAUUUUUUAAACUAUUUGUUAAUCUAUAGUUCUUUUAACCUUGACUUGUUUCUUUGCCUUAAAAAAAUUUCUUUGAUGACUCUAGUCUUUCCCCGACUAGGUUUUAUAGCCUUUCAACUUUGUCUUUCUCACUUUCUCAUGUUAUACAAACCCUAGCCUCUCCACUAUAAUUGUAGAGUUCUAUAUGCAGGACGAAGAAAGAGAAAAAGAAGAAGAGGAGAAAAAGGAUGACAAAAAUGAUGAUGAUGAUGAUGAUGUAUUAGGGUAAAGAUAAAGAGAGAGGAGUCCUUGUAUAGGAUUGUGGUGAUGAGAAAGAUAACAUUGAUAGGUCGUGUUGUGAACUUUGAUUUCCUAAUAUGGGGGAAAAAUUAUCAAAGAAGGAAGAGGCUGCUGUGAUUGUUGUGGGUUCUCUUGCACCUGCGGCCUUUGUGGUUGUACAGUGGCUUCCAGGGGAUUAAAAUAUAUAUGAUAAGAAUUUAAUGUAACUGCUACUGAUCUUUACUUAAUUCUAUGGAAUUCAAUUCCUUAGAUCAA